rnacentral:lncRNA from 1 species
CAGCAACUUUCUUACAGCAGUGCCAUGAAGAGCUCUUGAGACCACUGAAGCACAGACCACUGGAUUCUCCAGGUGUUGCUAAAAUAGAAGAGCUUAUAUAAAUCAAGGUGGUGGAGCUGACUUGGCUGGCAUUAUAUCAACCCACCUGCUUCUGGAAGGGAGAGGAAAAAAAUCAGAAUCGCUCAACCUGCACAUUGCUGUCAGCUUGUGAUUAUGUGAAUGAAUCUCAGUUACCAAUGAAAGAAGACUUAUCCCUGGAGAAAGCAUUCAUUGAUGAGGAUGGCAGCAGCUGA